AGUGAACGCUGGCGGUAGGCCUAACACAUGCAAGUCGAGCGGCAGCACAGUAAGAGCUUGCUCUUACCGUUGGCGAGUGGCGGACGGGUGAGGCAUACAUCGGAUUCUUCUUUUUCUUGGGUGAUAACGUAGGGAAACUUACGCUAAUACAUCAUAUGACCUACGGGUGAAAUCAAUGGUUCUUGGGACUUUUGCUGAUUGAUUGAGCCGGUUUCGGAUUAGCUAGUUGGCGGGGUAAAGGCCCACCAAGGCGACGCUCCGUAGCUUGUCUGAGAGGAUGGUCAGCCACCCUGGAACUGAAACAAGGUCCAGACCUCCACGGGAGGCAGCAGUGAGGAAUAUUGGAGCAUGGGCGCAAGCCUGGACGAACCAUACCGCGUGGGUGAAGAAGGCCUUCGGGUUGUAAAGCCCUUUUGUUGGGAAAGAAAAGCAGCAGGUUAAUACCCCGCUGUUCUGACGGUACCCAAAGAAUAAGCACCGGCUAACUUCGUG
rnacentral:rRNA from 1 species